CACAAGAUAAAAGGAGAGGGAAGAGGAAAACAAAGACACCAAGAGAUUGUUCACCCAGUUCGAUCCAAACUUGACCUACUAUGGAGGAGAGAUUGAACUCUCCAAUUCACUAUCAAUGAGUUCUUACAAAAGAGAUACAAAAAGAGUUACAAGAAAUUAGAUUUGACAAGUUCACAAUGAACAACCCUAAUUUCUACCCUUUUCCCAAUCUCACCAAGACACUCGAUGAUUUUCUCUCUUCAAGGUGUUUCCCAUGUUUCCCAAGCCAAGAGAAGCUCUAAUCAAAGACUCUAAACCCUAGAGUUUCUCCCUUUGAUUUCCCAAGUUUCUCUCUCUUCCAACCCUUCUUCAAAUCUGCACAGGAACACUUAAAUACUAGCCCUCCACUGAUAAAAUCGUGUCACGAUUGGUGCAUCUGUCCCAAGGUACGACCAGUCCUUAUCAUGGAAACUUAACGAGCAAGUUUGCAAAUCGUGUCACGAUUUCCCACGAUCGUGUCACGAUUUGGCACCCUGCAAACCAGCUCACGGCAUCACGAAAUCGUGUCACGAUGCCAAAUUCGUGUCACGAUUUCCCUGUUCUUCCAGACCACAAAUUUGAAGCUAAAUCUCAACACCUUCAUUAGUAUUGAGUUCGAGUUCUUAGAGCCAUAGAAUUUAAAUUAGCCAUAACAACGUAACAAUAAAAAAAUUGGCAUUAAAAUUGAAAGCAUGCAAUUAAAAGAGUUAAUAAUAGAGUGGUCUCUUCCUUCAAAAAAAAUAAAGUGGUCUCUUAGUCUAACAAUAUUUUUCCCGAUUUUUAGCAUGAGUGGUCAGUACAAAAAAACACAUAUGAGUAGUGGGAGGAGCUUUAAAAAUGAAUAUGGUAAAAGGAGUUACACAAUUUUCGUGUAAAUUUUUCUAGACUUCAAUGAUUCAAACAAUUUUUACUUGAAUAAAUAGUCCUUUCACAACUAAUUUGUUUACAAUUGUUUUUAAUGACAUCUUAUUUUUACCUUAAUUUGUAUCCUCUACUUUGAAGAGAGAUAUUUUAAGGGAUAGACAAAACUCACCUCUUAAGCACCCCUUCAAAUCUUCCUUACUUUAUGAAUAUGAGCAAUCGUUGUUUUGCUUCCUAACACGAAGAAAUUUAAUAAGUCUAUUAGUAGAUCAAGAAAAAUGCUCAACUUACCUAAAAAAAUUAUUAAAAAAAAUGGAUGAAAAUAAAAAACAUAAAAAUAAUAAAAGUUUUAUCACACAAUGGUAGGAGUAAAAUAUUACGUACCUAUCAAAGACAAAUGAAUAGAAAGAAAAAGAAAUAAAGAUAAAUUAACAUUCAGUGGUAGAAUGUUAGAGUGAAUAAUGAUGGAAAACAAAAAUUUCAACAUAACCACAACUACUAUUGCAAAUAAGAGUUGUUCUUUCUUCCAACAAAAUUCUCCUAUCUCCAAAGCCUGCACAUACUAUAUGAAGAAAAAAAAGAAGGAAUUCCAUUGUAGAAAAUGAAAGAAGGAAAUAUGAAAAUGGAAGGGACAGAAAGAGACGUGGUUAGCAAUCAAAGGGAAAAUGAAAUGGCCUGUAUAGCACUCUUAGUUUUUUAUAUGCAAAUAAAAAUGAUUAGAAUAUCUUGACAAAAAUAAAAAAGAUUA
rnacentral:lncRNA from 1 species